ACGGCCCCGGCCCGCCCGGCGCCGCCGCCGCCAUCUUUGUGAAGGGCAGUGCCAGCAUUGGCUGCUCUGCGGAUGACGCCAGCGCGCCGUGACGCGCAGCACUCCAGGAGGCUGCACUUGAGCCAGGACUGAGGGGAGAGGAGGUCCCAAGCGAUGGCAGCACCCCCGAUGAGGAGCGAAGCGCUGAGAGGGUCCAAAGCUGGUGCCAAAGCGGGGACAAGAGUAAAGACAGCAGCAGCAGGCAGGAGCCUCAUGGCGCUAACUGGGAAGCAGCCUCGGGCAGCAGGAGGGCAGAGCAAGGGACAAGAAGCUGAAGAACUUCCUGGAGCGGGAGGCCGGAGGCCGGGAGCCAAGCGCCGCGGGUGCCCGAGGGUUAACCGGGACCGCGUCAU